UAAAAAGCUUCAAACUGGGAUUAGAUACCCCACUAUGCCCAGCUUCAAACUAUGACUCAAUACAAAACACUUCCGCCCGGGAACUACGAGCUCCAGCUUAAAACCCAAAGGACUUGGCGGUGCCCCACCCACCUAGAGGAGCCUGUUCUAUAAUCGAUAACCCCCGCUUAACCUCACCACUUCUUGCCAAUACCGCCUAUAUACCACCGUCGCCAGCCCACCCCGUGAGGGAAUAAGUAGGCACAAUGAUCACCACCAAAACGUCAGGUCAAGGUGUAGCGUAUGAAGUGGAAAGAAAUGGGCUACAUUCUCUAAUCUAGAGCACACGAAAAAUCAUAAGAAAUUAGAUUGGAAGGAGGAUUUAGUAGUAAAAAGAAACAAUAGUGUUCUUUUUAAAUUGGCCCUGGGGCGCGCACACACCGCCCGUCACCCUCUGCAGUCAAA
rnacentral:rRNA from 1 species